rnacentral:rRNA from 1 species
UACGAAGGGGGCUAGCGUUGUUCGGAAUCACUGGGCGUAAAGCGCACGUAGGCGGAUCGUUAAGUCGGGGGUGAAAUCCCAGGGCUCAACCCUGGAACUGCCUUCGAUACUGGCGAUCUUCGAGUCCGGGAGAGGUGAGUGGAACUCCGAGUGUAGAGGUGAAAUUCGUAGAUAUUGGGAAGAACACCGAUGGCGAAGGCAGCCAUCUGGACCGACACUGACGCUGAGGCGCGAAAGCGUGGGGAGCAAACAGG